CAGUUUUGGCGGAGCCAUCCUUGGGAUACCACCCUUGUAGUACUGGGACUCUAACCAUAGGCCAUGAAUCUGGUCUUGGGACACUGUCAGGUGGGCAGUUUGACUGGGGCGGUCGCCUCCCAAAAGGUAACGGAGGCGCUCAAAGGUUCCCUCAGUACGGUCGGAAAUCGUACGUAGAGUGUAAAGGCAAAAGAGAGCUUGAUUGCAAGACAUACAGGACGAGCAAGGAUGAAAAUCGGACUUAGUGCUCCGGUGGGUCUGAGUGGCAAGGCAAUCGCCCAACGGAUGAAAGCUACCCUGGGGAUACAAGGCUUAUCUCCCCCAAGAGUCCACAUCGACGGGGAGGUUUGGCACCUCGAUGUCGGCUCAUCCCAUCCUGGGGCUGUAGUAGGUCCCAAGGGUUGGGCUGUUCGCCCAUUAAAGUGGUACGCGAGCUGGGUUCAGAACGUCGUGAGACAGUUCGGUCCCUAUCCGUCGCAGGCGUAGGAAAUUUGAGAAGACCUGUCCUUAGUACGAGAGGACCGGGAUGGACGUACCUCUGGUGUACCAGUUGUCCUGCCAAGGGCAUGGCUGGGUAGCUAUGUACGGAAUGGAUAAGCGCUGAAAGCAUCUAAGCGCGAAG
rnacentral:rRNA from 1 species